GAUGAAGAACGUAGCGAAAUGCGAUAAGUAAUGUGAAUUGCAGAAUUCAGUGAAUCAUCGAAUCUUUGAACGCACAUUGCGCCCGCCAGUAUUCUGGCGAGCAUGCCUGUUCGAGCGUCAUUUCAACCAUCAAGCCCCAGGCUUGUGUUGGAGCCCUGCGGCUGCCGCAGCCUCCCAAAACCAGUGGCGGGCUCGCUAUCACACCGAGUGCAGUAGUUUACUCUUCGCUCAGGGCGUGUGGCGGGUGCUAGCCGUGAAACCCCCAACUGCUCAAGGUUGACCUCGGAUCAGGUAGGAAUACCCGCUGAACUUAAGCAUAUCAAUAAGCGGAGGA
rnacentral:misc_RNA from 1 species